rnacentral:rRNA from 1 species
UACGAAGGGGGCUAGCGUUGCUCGGAAUCACUGGGCGUAAAGCGCACGUAGGCGGAUUGCUAAGUCAGGGGUGAAAUCCUGGAGCUCAACUCCAGAACUGCCCUUGAUACUGGCGGUCUCGAGUCCGGGAGAGGUGAGUGGAACUGCGAGUGUAGAGGUGAAAUUCGUAGAUAUCGGGAGGAACACCAGUGGCGAAGGCGGCGACCUGGGCCAAUACUGACGCUGAGGUGCGAAAGCGUGGGGAGCAAACAGG